rnacentral:rRNA from 1 species
GACGAACGCUGGCGGCGUGCUUAACACAUGCAAGUCGAACGGAAAGGCCCUGCUUUUGUGGUGUGCUCUAGUGGCGAACGGGUGAGUAACACGUGAGUAACCUGCCCUUGACUUUGGGAUAACUUCAGGAAGCUGGUGCUAAUACCGGAUAGGAGCUCCUUCUGCAUGGUGGGGGUGGGAAAGUUUCGGCGGUUGGGGAUGGACUCGCGGCUUAUCAGCUUGUUGGUGGGGUAGUGGCUUACCAAGGCUUUGACGGGUAGCCGGCCUGAGCGGGUUACCGGCCACAUUGGGACUGAGAUAAGGCCCAGCCUCCCACGGGAGGCAGCAGUGGGGAAUAUUGCACAAUGGGCGGAAGCCUGAUGCAGCAACGCCGCGUGCGGGAUGAAGGCCUUCGGGUUGUAAAACGCUUUCGCCUGUGCCGCCGCGUGAGUGACGGUAAUGGGUACAGAAGCACCGGCUCACUACGUG